GGGCCUCUAGCUCAUCUGGUAGAGCGCCGCAUUUGCACUGCGGAGGCGAGCGGUUCGAGUCCGCUGAGGUCCACCA
rnacentral:tRNA from 1 species